rnacentral:rRNA from 2 species
UGGAUCCAGACUUUGAUUCUGGCUCAGGAUGAACGCUAGCUACAGGCUUAACACAUGCAAGUCGAGGGGAAACGAUAGAGAAAGCUUGCUUUUUCUAGGCGUCGACCGGCGCACGGGUGAGUAACGCGUAUCCAACCUGCCCACCACUUGGGAAUAACCUUGCGAAAGGAAGACUAAUACCCAAUGAUAUCUCUAGAAGACAUCUGAAGGAGAUUAAAGAUUUAUCGGUGAUGGAUGGGGAUGCGUCUGAUUAGCUUGUUGGCGGGGUAACGGCCCACCAAGGCGACGAUCAGUAGGGGUUCUGAGAGGAAGGUCCCCCACAUUGGAACUGAGACACGGUCCAAACUCCUACGGGAGGCAGCAGUGAGGAAUAUUGGUCAAUGGGCGAGAGCCUGAACCAGCCAAGUAGCGUGCAGGAUGACGGCCCUAUGGGUUGUAAACUGCUUUUAUAAGGGAAUAAAGUGAGCCUCGUGAGGCUUUUUGCAUGUACCUUAUGAAUAAGGACCGGCUAAUUCCGUGCCAGCAGCCGCGGUAAUACGGAAGGUCCGGGCGUUAUCCGGAUUUAUUGGGUUUAAAGGGAGCGUAGGCCGGAGAUUAAGCGUGUUGUGAAAUGUAGAUGCUCAACAUCUGCACUGCAGCGCGAACUGGUUUCCUUGAGUACGCACAAAGUGGGCGGAAUUCGUGGUGUAGCGGUGAAAUGCUUAGAUAUCACGAAGAACUCCGAUUGCGAAGGCAGCUCACUGGAGCGCAACUGACGCUGAAGCUCGAAAGUGCGGGUAUCGAACAGGAUUAGAUACCCUGGUAGUCCGCACGGUAAACGAUGGAUGCCCGCUGUUGGUCUGAAUAGGUCAGCGGCCAAGCGAAAGCAUUAAGCAUCCCACCUGGGGAGUACGCCGGCAACGGUGCAACUCAAAUGAAUUGACGGA